rnacentral:rRNA from 1 species
GACGAACGCUGGCGGCGUGCUUAACACAUGCAAGUCGAACGAAGUGGCGCACGGGUGAGUAACGCGUAAUCAACCUGCCCUUCAGAGGGGGACAACAGUUGGAAACGACUGCUAAUACCGCAUACUGAAGGAGGGGAUUGCGUCUGAUUAGCUAGUUGGAGGGGUAACGGCCCACCAAGGCGAUGAUCAGUAGCCGGGCUGUGGGGAGGUACGGCCGGAUGGGGACUGGGGCACGGCCCCGACUCCUACGGGAGGCAGCAGUGGGGAGUCAUGCGCAAUGGACGCAAGUCUGGCAGGGCAACGCCGCGUGAGUGAUGACGGCCUUCGGGUUGUAAAGCUCUGUUAGUCGGGACGCGGUACCGGAAUAGAAAGCCACGGCUAACUACGUGACAGCAGCCGCGGUAAUUC